rnacentral:pre_miRNA from 11 species
GCGGAACCCUAAUCCUGGCCCUGUUCGGACUGAGUAUUACAUCAGGUACUGGUGUCGAUAUUCGAAUCACCAACGAAUCGGGUUCCUUUGAUUAACUUACCAGUACUUAUGUUAUGCUCUCUCCGCGGUCAGUGCAUGCUGCGAUCGGAACA